rnacentral:misc_RNA from 1 species
GUGAGUCAUCGAAUCUUUGAACGCACAUUGCGCCCCUCGGUAUUCCGUGGGGCAUGCCUGUUCGAGCGUCAUUUAAACCCUCAAGCACAGCUUGGUGUUGGGUGCUUGUCCCGCCUCCGCGCGGCGACUCACCUCAAAGUCAUUGGCAGCCCGCAUCCGCCGGCCGUGAGCGCAGCACAGUCGCGCCCUAGGUCCCGGCAGGUCGGCUCUCCAGAAGCACUUCUUCCACCAUUGACCUCGGAUCAGGUAGGGAUACCCGCUGAACUUAAGCAUAUCAAUAAGCGGAGGA